ACGUUUACAAAUAGGAAUAGGGUAGGUGGGAGGGAUAGAAAGUACAGCCAAUAAAAUCAUGUGGCGCCGAUGGGCGUGUUGAGGCCGCUGCCUGGCUUAGGGCGGAAACAGAGUCUGGAUAAGAAGGGGAACGAAAGAUGGCGGCGGAAACGCUGCUGUCCAGUUUGUUAGGACUGCUGCUUCUGGGACUCCUGUUACCCGCAAGUCUGACCGGCGGUGUCGGGAGCCUGAACCUGGAGGAGCUGAGUGAGAUGCGUUAUGGGAUCGAGAUCCUGCCAUUGCCUGUCAUGGGAGGGCAGAGCCAAUCUUCGGACGUGGUGAUUGUCUCCUCUAAGUACAAACAGCGCUAUGAGUGUCGCCUGCCAGCUGGAGCUAUUCACUUCCAGCGUGAAAGGGAGGAGGAGACACCUGCUUACCAAGGGCCUGGGAUCCCUGAGUUGUUGAGCCCAAUGAGAGAUGCUCCCUGCUUGCUGAAGGUGAAAGGGACUGGGUUAGAUAGAAUGAGGGCUUGGAAACUAGCAGUUCAUCCGAGAACUGGAAUCCAGUGAAUGAGGCAGGAUCUAGGGGACCUGUAGUGGUUAAGAAGACCACUGGAGGAGUAGACAGAUUACAUGGACAGGAAAGAAGCAAAGAAUCCUGCAACCACUGAUGACACUUUGCUGAAUGUAGGAGCAGGUUAGGAUAGAAGAUCUCAGAAA
rnacentral:sRNA from 1 species